CGCGGGGUAGAGCAGCCUGGUAGCUCGUCGGGCUCAUAACCCGGAGGUCGCGGGUUCAAAUCCCGCCCCCGCAC
rnacentral:tRNA from 1 species